AAAACCUAGCAGAUAGUCGCGCGCGAGAGGUUUACCCCUUCUUCCCCGGGGAUGCACUACCACCCCAAACCCCUAAUUCAACUUCUACAUCUCAUUUCGCCAAAAAUCUAAACCCAACUCUCCUCUCUCUUUCUCCACCCCAAACCCUAAUAACAUCGAUCAAGCCUCUCGCUCUCUCUCUCUCUCUCAACCAGCAACAUACUACCACCCAAACCUCGCUGCUAGAUCUAUGCCCCAAACCUCUCUUUUUGCCCCCAAACCCUGUUGCUCUCUCUCUGCCCUAAACCACGCUGCUCUCACAAUAUAUUUAUUGUUCUAGCAUUGAUUCACUACUCCCACCACCAUCGAUUUAGAUUCAUUGAGAGGACUUCAUCAACAAAUUUCUCAUCGGUCAUUGUUGUCAUCUCCUCCAUCGAAGUCUAUCUUUCAUAAAAAUUUUCAAGGUCUAUUUUCCUUUGAUUAUUAUUAUUCUUUAUUUUGAAAGAAGGUAUUCCUUUGAUUCUAAAAUGGCAAUAAUUGAUGAGUCGUCGAAUUGGUUCCUCUUAUAAACUUAGGGAAAGAUAAGGUGUCCACAUUUAAACCCUGUUGUAACGGAGGAAAGAUGAUGAAUCACCAAUUUUUUUAUUUUUUUGGUGUUUGGAAGUGUUCUAUCAAUGUAUGAUCUGAACUCGUAUUAAUAUCAUUUUACCGAUAAUUCAUUUUAUAUUAAACGAGUGGGACCGAUCAUGGUUAUAAGAGCUUUGUCUUUCCUAGCUUUUCCUUUAUAUAAGUUAAAUUACAUGGAGGUUUCUAGUUA